CAAGGCAGUUCUUUCUUCUUGUUUUAUGUUUGAAAAUUAUUUAGUUGGUCCUGAUUUGUAUUUUUGGUAUAACAUGUCUAUGGGGCCCCAAUAAUUCAUGCCAAAUCAUGAAAUACAUGUAUGCAGUGACAUCUGUUUUCUUUUGUUCUUACAGAAUUCAAUUACAAUUGAUCAAGACCUUCUAAUAAAUAGCACCAGACCGCUGGAGACCUUGGUUUCUGUGGGGAUGAGAUUGGGCGUCUCUACAAGGAAACUGUCAUGAUUUAGUGUUGACUCACAUGGAAAUAUUGAUCCUGUGCAAUUUCUUUGAAUCAGUACAUCUUCACUAUUCACGGCAUUAUGUGCGUUUGUUGCCUUUAUGUGCAUUGUCCACAGUUUGAUCUCUAUGGAUUAAACUGGAAGUUACGCCUGAUGGAAAUGUCUUUGGAUAUUUCACCAAGUAGUAUUACACAAGGUUGUAAACGUCUCAACUUUCUCAAAACGAUAUUAUGAACGUUUCAUGACUUGUCCCUUUAUUUCUAUUUGUUUCUCCGAAAAAUUGUUUUCAUCUUCUUUUUCUUUUUAAUUAUGCAUGUCAAGGUUAGAACAAGUUUUAAGGCUCAGUAUAACACAAACUGUAGAAAUGCAAAUACACUUUAUUUUAGAGAUCUUUCCUCGCCACGAAACAUGUCUCGAUAAAUCAUUACGUAUCGUAACAUGAUAAUGGUGAGACUGAACGUUGAUGGCAGCUUUGGUGGGGAACCUAGUCGCAUGGGUGGUGGUGGUGGUGCGUUCCGUGACAGCAAGGGAACAUGGAUGGGUGGCUUCAUCUCAUUUGAAACUGGCGGUAACCCGCUCCUGGUGGAAGCUACGGCGCUCCGCGAUGGAUUGGAGUGUGUGUGGCAGCGUGGCUUCAGAAACCUCAUAUGCGAGGUUGAUUGUCAAGAGCUGAUCUCAUCCCUUGGCGACCAAGAGAGGAUCCGGUUCAUGCUAGUUCUUCAAGACAUCAACAAUUAGCUUCUAAGAGACUGGAUUGUGGUGCUGCAACCUGUUAACAUGAUUGCCAACAUGGUAGCAUAUCGUAUGACUCGUUUGGGUGCGGAAAGUUUGCAACCCGGUGUUCAUGUUUGGGACAGUCCUCAGCUGGAGAUUAUGACUCUUAGGCUGAGUGACUCAGCUUUUAUUCCUUAGCUCUUUUGUAGUUUUUCCAAUGCAGUAAAAAAAAAGUAAUGAUGAUAAGCGUGCAAAAGAUUAAAACAACUUCCUAUAAAAUAUGUUAUCUUAAAUUUAAAAAAAACUGACUAUCUACAACAAAAGAUUAAAAAAACUAAGAUCCCGUUUGGAAGAGCAUAUGAACAGCUUAUUUGAACUUAUUCUAUAAGAUAAACACGUGUAUAUGUGUUUGAAAGAACUUAUUCAUAGAGCUUGUAUAAGCUCCCCUAAGCUACAUUUGUUGCAAUAGGAGCUACAAUGGUUGGUAGCAUUACUUUUACAAAGAAAAAGGGCGAUCAUGUCAAGAAGGGAGAUGAGGUUUGGACAAGUUUAGUUGAUUACGGUUUUUCCAAUUUUAUAUGUUGUUUUUGUUUCUAAUUGGAAUGUGUUUGCUUACAGUUCGGAUAUUUCUCAUUUGGUGGAAGCACUGUAAUUUGUGUUUUUGAAAAGGUAGGUAUAAUUUAUCUAUACUGUUCAUUUUUUCCCUUCUUCAAGGCAGUUCUUUCUUCUUGUUUUAUGUUUGAAAAUUAUUUAGUUGGUCCUGAUUUGUAUUUUUGGUAUAACAUGUCUAUGGGGCCCCAAUAAUUCAUGCCAAAUCAUGAAAUACAUGUAUGCAGUGACAUCUGUUUUCUUUUGUUCUUACAGAAUUCAAUUACAAUUGAUCAAGACCUUCUAAUAAAUAGCACCAGACCGCUGGAGACCUUGGUUUCUGUGGGGAUGAGAUUGGGCGUCUCUACAAGGAAACUGUCAUGAUUUAGUGUUGACUCACAUGGAAAUAUUGAUCCUGUGCAAUUUCUUUGAAUCAGUACAUCUUCACUAUUCACGGCAUUAUGUGCGUUUGUUGCCUUUAUGUGCAUUGUCCACAGUUUGAUCUCUAUGGAUUAAACUGGAAGUUACGCCUGAUGGAAAUGUCUUUGGAUAUUUCACCAAGUAGUAUUACACAAGGUUGUAAACGUCUCAACUUUCUCAAAACGAUAUUAUGAACGUUUCAUGACUUGUCCCUUUAUUUCUAUUUGUUUCUCCGAAAAAUUGUUUUCAUCUUCUUUUUCUUUUUAAUUAUGCAUGUCAAGGUUAGAACAAGUUUUAAGGCUCAGUAUAACACAAACUGUAGAAAUGCAAAUACACUUUAUUUUAGAGAUCUUUCCU
rnacentral:lncRNA from 1 species